rnacentral:rRNA from 1 species
UGAGGAAUAUUGCUCAAUGGGCGAAAGCCUGAAGCAGCAACGCCGCGUGCGCGAUGAAGGUCUUCGGAUCGUAAAGCGCUUUUGAGAGGGACGAGAUAGGACGGUACCUCUUGAAUAAGUCACGGCUAACUACGUGCCAGCAGCCGCGGUAAAACGUAGGUGGCAAGCGUUAUCCGGAUUCACUGGGCGUAAAGCGCGUGCAGGUGGCUUCGUAAGUUGGACGUUAAAUCUUUCGGCCUAACCGGGAGGUGUCGUUCGAUACUGCGGGGCUUGAGGGUAGAAGAGGGGGGUGGAAUUGCCGGUGUAGUGGUGAAAUGCGUAGAUAUCGGCAGGAACACCUGUGGCGAAAGCGGCCCCCUGGUCUGCUCCUGACACUCAGACGCGAAAGCUAGGGGAGUGAACG